UGGGGAAUAUUGGACAAUGGGGGCAACCCUGAUCCAGCAAUACCGCGUGUGUGAAGAAGGCCUAUGGGUUGUAAAGCACUUUCAGUAGGGAGGAGAGGCUUGUGGUUAAUACCCAUAAGCGGAGACGUUACCUACAGAAGAAGCACCGGCUAACUCUGUGCCAGCAGCCGCGGUAAUACAGAGGGUGCGAGCGUUAAUCGGAAUUACUGGGCGUAAAGCGCGUGUAGGUGGAUGAAUAAGUUGGAUGUGAAAGCCCCGGGCUCAACCUGGGAAUGCCAUUCAAAACUGUUCAUCUAGAGUAUGGUAGAGGGAAGUGGAAUUUCAGGUGUAGCGGUGAAAUGCGUAGAUAUCUGAAGGAACACCAGUGGCGAAGGCGGCUUCCUGGACCAAUACUGACACUGAGACGCGAAAGCGUGGGGAGCAAACAGGAUUAGAUACCCUAGUAGUCCCUGAGCGGGCUGGCAAGGCGCAU
rnacentral:rRNA from 1 species